GAGAGAAAGAGCGGCAGAGCCAGCUUCCUUUUUCCGAUCAGGGACGGGUGGAGCUGGCAGGGACUGUGGCCGAGCUGCCGCCAGCGAGACUCGAGUACCCGCCCCCGCGGCCAGCAGGUGGGCACUCGAGCGCCCCUCCCCCGGGACGCGGGUGGCUUGGGGCGCGGACCCAGCCCCAUCGCUCCUGAAGUUAAAACAUUUUCAUGGGAUCCUAAAAGUAGUGUGGCCCGGGGCUCCACGCCUGCUGUGCCCAGUGGAUAAGAUGGCAGUGGGCAAAGUCCAGCCAUGUGACAGCCUGGAUAGAACAUUAAAGCACCUGGAAGGCACUGGAGAUGCAACAGUAAACAAACAAGAAGUGGUUUGCAUGGAGGUGAUUCCACUGGGGCAAGACUUGACUGUGGAGAUGGCACUUUCCAAAGACGGCCACACGUUCUUCUAGAACUUUCCCUCUUCCUCAUCAAAAGGUGGUGUCUAACAUCCCUUCCAUUUAGUCUAGGCAGACUUGUCACUCACAACCAGCAGAAUGCAGCAGAAGUGAUUUUGUGUGACUUCUGAGGCUACGUCAUAAAAGGCGCUGCAGCUUCUGGCUUGUUAGUUGGGACACAUGCCUUUGGAGCUUUAAGAUGGAGUGUAGGAAGUCCACCUACCCUAAGACUGCCAUGCUGUGAUGAGACCCAGGCCACAUGGAGAGGCCAUGCAUGUGUGUUCUGGCUGACAUCCCAGCCAACAGCCAGCGUCAGCUGCCAGACAUGUGAGGGAGCGACUCUUUAGACAUUUCCAGACCCUAGCUGUCAAAUCACUUCCAGCCUUCAAGACUUCCCAGCUGAGGCCCCACACAUCAUGGUACAGAGACAGUCCAUCCCCACCGUGUUCUGUCCAAAUUCCUGACCCACAGAAUUCAUGAGCAUCAUAGAAUGGUGGUUGUUUAAACUACUAAAUUUGAGGUGGUUUACUAUGCAGAAAUAGUAUCUAGAACACUCACAAUAAGCAAGCAAAUACAUGAGCAAGAUCAUUUCAUAUUGUGAUAGGUCCUCAGGAAA